rnacentral:lncRNA from 1 species
AGCACCGCUCUGCUCUCUCGCCUCCCCAGCGGCAGACACCCCAGCCUGUGCCACGGCCACUGCUCAGGGUGGGGAAGGAGGUUUGAUUUGCCCAAGGACCACCAGGGAAUCACUGCAUGGGCUGACCCCAGCUGCAGCCCUCCUGCAUGGCUGCCUGUCACUCCAGCUAAGCAGAGGAGCUGCCGUUACCAGCACCCUUUCCCUUUCUAAUCUGAAGGCAGCCCUGCGGUGAGAGAGUCCCAGCGUCACCCAUCACCCCAGCAGGUCAGGGGCCCUGGAGUCCCCCCUUGAUGAAUGACCUUAGCAGGAAAGAGAAAUCUGCCCCCUC